GGAUGUUGCCACUGGGUUUGAUAUAAGGCAUCAUAUCCCCUAGGGCAUGGUGUCUCUACUGCUGAUUCUCACCUCGCUGGAAUUAUGCGUAACCAUCUCUGCCAUAGCCAUGUGGUGCAGUGCAAACUGCUGUAAUUCAAGAGAGGAAAUUUCCUCACCUCCCAAUUCUGUGUAAUCAAGAAUACCUCCUUAUGAAAAUAAUUCUGAGAGCAUGAAUAUUUGACCUUAAAUCUCCAGUGACUCAGAGCUUCACCCACAAACUCAGGAGAACAUGAGCCUGUUCGUAAAGCUCAAUCCUUCUAUCAUGGCACCAAUCACAAGAACCUUGGACGUUUGACUGACUCUAUCCUUUCUCUCCUAACUAUAAAUCCUAUUUGUGUGUCAUGGGUAUGGAAGGACAGAUAUAUUUCUUUAGGCAUUCUUGGAUAUCUGUAACUUCUGUGAUCAUUACUCCAAAGUUGUUUCCAGAAAUUGGUUCUAUUUCUUCUUAUCCACCUACUCCAUUGCUUUAUGAGGUUUAAGGAAGGAAGGCGGUAUAAUCCCUAUUCAAUAUAUUUUUUCUAAAAUCCAACUUCUGACCGCCCAGUAGGAAGAAAAAUGAGACAUUUUUUCCAUUACAGAGAAAUGCUUCUUGACUUUAACAUCAGCAUUAUAAAAAGUGUCAGAUAAAAAAUUACCAUCAUUAUCAUUAAAAUAAAUUUUCACUGUAUUUGAGAUGGGAGGGUUAAGGCUCAGGGAUUUUAUUUCAGUGAACUGCUGGAACUCACACAUGCCCUGAUAUGUAAAUGAUGAUUUAUGUUGGUGAGUCUGAGAGCAAGCCCAAAUGUGUUCUUCAAAGGACAAUGGGAAACUGUAAAGUAGAGAACUAAAGAAUAAGGCCUUUAGAAUCUGACACAUCUGGGUUCAAAUUCUGAAACUGUCACUUAUUACC
rnacentral:sRNA from 1 species